GAUUUCUGGCUUGAAACAUUUGGCCGGCCACGGUUUCGUGUGUUAGUGCUUUGUGUUCUGGCCAUCCUUCUAAUCGCUACGUACUUCUCUUCAUUGAUUAGUACGUGGUAUUAGAUCUUUUACUUUGAAAAAAUUAGAGUGUUUCAAGCAGGCUUUUGCUAUGAAUACAUUAGCAUGGAAUAAUAAUUUAGGACUUCGGUUCUAUUUUGUUGGUUUCUAGGACUGAAGUAAUGAUUGAUAGGGAUAGUUGGGGGUGCUAGUAUUCAGCGGCCAGAGGUGAAAUUCUUGGAUUCGCUGAAGACUAACUUAUGCGAAAGCAUU
rnacentral:rRNA from 1 species